rnacentral:lncRNA from 1 species
CUGGUAAUAACAAUGAAAUAGUUAAAGGAUUAACUAAUGAAAUUCAAUAUGCUAAACAACUUGCCCUACACUAUGUCCUGAGAUUGAUUUAAAAAAAUUGUCCCUUUUGCUCUUUUAAAGACCAAAUAUGGUCCUUGCCAUCAGAAAUAUUAUCAAAUUGUCAUUGUCUAGAGAAACAGUUUUAUUAACCCAAGUGUCCCCCAUUUUUAUUCUAUAAUUUUGUGUAAAAUGUUCGUACUAUGACGUCACUAAACUGGUAAUUUGUCAAAAAGAUAUGCCAACAGC